rnacentral:misc_RNA from 1 species
UAAGAUAGGGUGCUUCAGCACCGAGUGUGACAUACUUUGCUCAGCUACACUGUAGUCCGGUGAGGGGUGUCACAGGCUACUUUUUCAACUAGCUGGAACAUUUACCACUUGAGAGGAUCUUUCACAAGCCUUCUUAGCAAGGUACUUUCCACCUACAAGGAUUGUGAAAUUGAGAGUAGAGCCGAAUACUUUCAGGCAAAGGAAAGGAGAAUCACUGUAUGAUGCAUGGGAAAGGUACAAAGACCUUCAAAGGGAGUGCCCAUACCAUGACAUAGAGGACUAGCUCCUAGUUCAAAACUUUUACAAUGGAUUGCUACCGUCUAUAAGGAUUACAGUUGAUUCAGCAGCAGGAGGAG